rnacentral:rRNA from 1 species
CAAUAGCGUAUAUUAAAGUUGUUGCAGUUAAAAAGCUCGUAGUUGGAUUUGUGGUGUGUCCAGUCGGCCUUUGCUCUUUGAGUGAUUGUGCUGUUACUGGUCUGCCAUGUUUGGGUGGAAUCUGUGUGGCAUUAAGUUGUCGUGCAGGGGAUGCCCAUCGUUUACUGUGAAAAAUUAGAGUGUUCAAAGCAGGCUUAUGCCUCUGAAUAUAUUAGCAUGGAAUAAUGAUAUAGGACCUUGGUACUAUUUUGUUGGUUUGCGCACUGAGGUAAUGAUUAAGAGGGACGAGUUGGGGGUAGUUUGUAUUCCAUUGUCAGAGGUGGAAAUUACUUGGAGUUUUUGGUUAAGGACAAACUAACUGCGAAAGACAUUUACCU